AUUUCGGCAGCAAUAUAUACUAAAAUUGGAACAAUACAGGGAGGAUUAGCAUGGACCCUGUCCAAGCACGACACGCAAAUUUAUGAUAUGUUCCAUAUUUAU